rnacentral:piRNA from 1 species
UCCACACACCUGGACUGUGAGGAGUCCUGC